CAUUGACUUCCCUAGGACUUGCUGAAUGAGAAUCAACUUGUUCUUGUGAUCUACAAAAGGUGAAGAUCCAAGGCAAAACGAUGACUGCAAAUUGUGAAUCAAUGGCUAAGUCUACCAUGU
rnacentral:lncRNA from 1 species